rfam:Medicago truncatula strain A17 chromosome 1, whole genome shotgun sequence.
AAACAACCCUCUAUGUAUUGGAUCUUUGAUAGUUUUGGCCCCAAAGACCGCUUUUGACUUAGUCUUCGCUGACGUGACAUCCACAAUGGUCGACACGUGGCACCUCACUUAAGGGAUGUGAGUGCCACGUCAGCAAAAACUAAGUCAAAAGUGGCAUUGGGGGCUAAAACUGUCAAAAAUCCAAUACAUAUGAGCUAUUU